UGGAAAACAUAAACUGAUCACGAAUGUGUCAGAAGAGAUAGUAGUAAGCAUUAUCUACUUAAGAGUUAUGAUUAGUCAUAUGCCACUAGAAACUAUUACAGCAAAAUGCAAUGAGUGUGUAGGAAAAAGUAAUACCUUUGACUAGCUUGCUUGCUAGCUGGACCGUGAAGUCAUAACAAAGUAAAGUAGGUUACCCUCCUUUCGGAGUAGUCUAGUUGGCCAAACGAUG
rnacentral:lncRNA from 1 species